rnacentral:tRNA from 1 species
AAUCCGUCGAUUUCAAAAAUCGUGAGGGUUCAAGUCNCUCUAUCCCCA